GGUGCCUUGGCGCAAUGGUAGCGCGUUGGUUUUCGGUGAUAUCAAAGCUGUUCACCAAAGGUUGAGGGUUCGAGCCCCUUGGGCAUCG